rnacentral:rRNA from 1 species
CUGGGAGCCUAGAGUUCAGAAGGGGCAGAUGGAAUUAGUGGUGUAGGGGUAAAAUCCGUAGAUAUCACUAGGAAUAUCAAAAGCGAAGGCGAUCUGCUGGGAUGAUACUGACGCUGAGGCACGAAAGCGUGGGGAGCAAACAGGAUUAGAUACCCUGGUAGUCCACGCCCUAAACGAUGAAUGCUAGUCGUCGGGAAGCUCGUCUUUUCGGUGACGCACUUAACAGAUUAAGCAUUCCGCCUGGGGAGUACGGUCGCAAGAUUAAAACUCAAAGGAAUAGACGGGGACCCGCACAAGUGGUGGAGCAUGUGGUUUAAUUCGAAGAUACACGAAGAACCUUACCUGGCCUUGACAUCCCAAGAACUUUCCAGAGAUGGAUUGGUGCUAGCUUGCUAGAACUUGGUGACAGGUGCUGCACGGCUGUCGUCAGCUCGUGUCGUGAGAUGUUGGGUUAAGUCCCGCAACGAGCGCAACCCUCGUCUUUAGUUGCUAACAGUUAGGCUGAGCACUCUAAAGAGACUGCCUCCGUAAGGAGGAGGAAGGUGAGGACGACGUCAAGUCAUCAUGGCCCUUACGGCCAGGGCUACACACGUGCUACAAUGGGGCGUACAGAGAGCUGCAAUACCGCGAGGUGGAGCCAAUCUCACAAAGCGUCUCUCAGUUCGGAUUGAAGUCUGCAACUCGACUUCAUGAAGCUGGAAUCACUAGUAAUCGUAGAUCAGCAUUGGUACGGUGAAUACG